rnacentral:rRNA from 2 species
GCCUGCCCAGUGACCCCUGUUCAACGGCCGCGGUAUUUUAACCGCGCAAAGGUAGCGCAAUCACUUGUCCCUUAAAUGAGAACCAGUAUGAAUGGCUAGACGAGGGCUUAACUGUCUCCUUUUCCCAACCAAUGAAAUUGAUCUUCCCGUGCAGAAGCGGGAAUACUAACAUAAGACGAGAAGACCCUGCGGAGCUUUAGACGCCAGAACAGAUCACGUCAAAUACCUCUCUCAAACAGGUAACAACAAAUGAACCCUGUUCCACGUCUUAGGUUGGGGCGACCACGGUGAACAGAAAAACCCCCGCGUGGACUGAGAGCACAUACCUCACACUUAUUAAUACUGCUUCUCACAACCAUGAGCUACAGCUCUAAAUAACAGAACUUCUGACCAAAAAAAUGAUCCGGCAACGCCGAUUAACGGACCAAGUUACCCCAGGGAUAACAGCGCAAUCCUCUUUAAGAGUCCAUAUCGAC